GUGUUCCCAAAUGGGUACUUGCACAAAACUUCACGCGGCGAAUGACUGUCGAAAGGUACGGCCGCGCCAAACGAUACACCGCAAUGCUAUUCACCCAUAAGAAUCAAGUAAACGGGGUGCAGAAAGCGCGGCGGUACCUUUCAUGAAGGGUUCGCCGCGUGCAAUUCUGAGAAAAUCAGGCAAUAUUUAGCUUAUUAUUUAAUCUUUUUCAACAUUUUUACAAUUUUAUUCUUCUCAAAGCUUAUAAAUCAGGCUUGCUUGCUUUUAUUCUAUGCAUUGUAAUGUUUUUCUCAAAUUAAAUCUUUUAAUUGCAUUCAAGUUGUUCGCCGUUUGUGUUUCAACAUGUUCGGUGGUGAUUAAGUUAGGGAAAAUCACGGACGACGGACCCUUCAUUUUAUGCUGUUACACCGGGUUUUAAGAGCUGGCAAAGAGUUCAGUUGCAACUCGGUCCCGAAGGUCAGGUGCUACACAAACCGCAAACAUAAUGGCCGACAUGGAAUUUCAUCUCUAUUAUCUGGACCGUCGGAGCGAGCUUCGAACGCCGAAGUUCGGAGUACUCGGUUGAUACCCAAUAGAAAAACGUCCUAAUUCCGUGAAACGAUAACCGGCAGCCAAUACAACAAGCGAGGGAACAAGUGACGGGGCUGCUGCAGGAGGCCAGUGCCAUUCUGAAACCAAUUUUAUUUAACAAGUGCUACUUUAUUCUGAAUCCGAUUCUACUAAUCACCACCGUAUGGUAUUCUGCAUGGUACGGAUAUAUUUUUGGAGACGAAUCAUUUUUAAAACUGCGAAUAAAUUAUAUAAAUGAAAAUGUAAAUAAA